UGAAUUUUGUAAAAUGUGUUUUCUACCUCAAUUAAAAUGAUUAUGUGUUGCUUUUCUUUAUUCUAUUAAUGUGGCUUAAUACAGUGAUUGAUUUUCACAUGUUUAACCAUCCUUGCAUUCCAGGAAUAAAUCACACUUGGUCAUGAUGUGGAAACCUUUUAAUAUACUGCUGAUUUUAGUUUGCUAGUAAUUUGUUGAGAAUCUUUCUAUCAAUUUUCAGAAGUGAUACUGGUUGGUAGUUUUAUUUUCUUGUAUAGUCACCUGCCCUUAUCUGUAGUUUUACUUUUUAUAGUUUCAGUUGCCCACGGUCAACCGAAAAAAAGAUCUGUCUAUGGGUUUAAUUAUGGUUUAAUGGGAAAACAGAAGUGAUUGACGAGUUUGUGUGUCCAUCAGAUUGCGGGGACCUGGAAAACACCAGCCUUGUUUUCCGGUCUACUGGGAGACACUUUGUCUCUUGGAAAGUGGUUAGGAUGAACAUGCAUCAAGGCCCUGCCACAGAGCUUCCACAAAGGAAAGUCACUCUGGGGCAACCCAGAGCAGUCGACAGGACCAGAGACUGACAGGAGUGAUUCUGAACAGUCCAGUCAAGGUAGGGUCUGCCCUCACGGUUUCCUACAGAAAUAACUGCAUGUUUGGCAGAAGGCCCUAUUUCUCGCCCUGGGCUACCUCUUCAAUUGAGGCUUUCAUGAAAGACCAUAUACUAUUUCAGGUUGCCAAGAGUUUGGGUUAUUGUGCUAGUUGUCAGGAAAGGCUAGGCUAGCUCACGUGCUGUGAGCUAGUCCAAACCUUAUUACCUGGUCUGUGAAGGGAGGCCAGUUGAAAAUAUUAUAUAUAAUAAGAUAUUUUGAAAGAGAGAGAGAGACCAUAUUCAUAUAGCUUUUAUUAAAGUAUAUUUUUAUAAUUGUUCGUAUUAUUAAUUUUUACUGUGCUUAGUCUAUAAAUUGAACUUUAUCAUAGAUAUGUAGGUAUAGGAAAAAGCAUAUUAGGAUUCAGUACUCUCCAUGGUUUCAGGUAUCCACUGGGGUCUUGGAAUGUAUUUCCUGAGCAUAAGAGGGGACUGCUGUAGUGUUCGAAAUGUUCCUUUCCCUUUAACUCUUUUGGAAGCCUGAGGGGAUUUUUCUCCAGUAUUUACUGUGAGACUGUGGUUGAGCUCUUGGAUGUAAAAUCUGUAAAGGUAUGGGGUCUUACCUAUAACUGGGUCCCCUGCAAGUUUUUAAUUCUCAGACUUGACCACCACUUAGCCUCCAGCAAUUUGUCAGUUGCUCAGAUUUUUCUGUCUCAGCACUGGUUCCCGUGGCAGUUUCUCCUUGUGAAUCUUGGAACUUGUAGCCAUGGCUCCCUCUAUUUGUUUGUCUCUCCAAUUUGGGGGUCAGUGGUUUGCUUGGUGUCCUUACCUGUCUUUUGGAUCCUAGAAGAACUGUUGGUUUUUCAGUGUCUUCAGCUUUUUAUUUGUUGUUAGGAUAGAAGGGGAUUUCCAAGCUCCUUACUUGUGGAAUGGGAAACCUGUCGCCCUGUCUUAAAAGGGAAAUUGAUAGAAUAUACUCAAGGGAUAUUCUUGAGUAUAUUCUUGGUGCUCAGGGCACUUGAAACAGUGCUAUCUGAGGUUGAAAGGUUCAUUUGAACCAGAGUUGAGGAAAGGACUACUUCGGAAAGCCGUGAAGCUUUGUUAUUGUUUGACUGGGGUUUGUUGUUGUUUGUUUUGCGGUGUGCGUGUGUGU